ACGCUGGCGGCGUGCUUAACACAUGCAAGUCGAACGGAAAGGCCCUGCUUUUGUGGGGUGCUCGAGUGGCGAACGGGUGAGUAACACGUGAGUAACCUGCCCUUGACUUUGGGAUAACUUCAGGAAACUGGGGCUAAUACCGGAUAGGAGCUCCUGCUGCAUGGUGGGGGUUGGAAAGUUUCGGCGGUUGGGGAUGGACUCGCGGCUUAUCAGCUUGUUGGUGGGGUAGUGGCUUACCAAGGCUUUGACGGGUAGCCGGCCUGAGAGGGUGACCGGCCACAUUGGGACUGAGAUACGGCCCAGACUCCUACGGGAGGCAGCAGUGGGGAAUAUUGCACAAUGGGCGGAAGCCUGAUGCAGCAACGCCGCGUGCGGGAUGACGGCCUUCGGGUUGUAAACCGCUUUCGCCUGUGACGAAGCGUGAGUGACGGUAAUGGGUAAAGAAGCACCGGCUAACUACGUGCCAGCAGCCGCGGUGAUACGUAGGGUGCGAGCGUUGUCCGGAUUUAUUGGGCGUAAAGGGCUCGUAGGUGGUUGAUCGCGUCGGAAGUGUAAUCUUGGGGCUUAACCCUGAGCGUGCUUUCGAUACGGGUUGACUUGAGGAAGGUAGGGGAGAAUGGAAUUCCUGGUGGAGCGGUGGAAUGCGCAGAUAUCAGGAGGAACACCAGUGGCGAAGGCGGUUCUCUGGGCCUUUCCUGACGCUGAGGAGCGAAAGCGUGGGGAGCGAACAGGCUUAGAUACCCUGGUAGUCCACGCUGUAAACGGUGGGUACUAGGUGUGGGGUCCAUUCCACGGGUUCCGUGCCGUAGCUAACGCUUUAAGUACCCCGCCUGGGGAGUACGGCCGCAAGGCUAAAACUCAAAGGAAUUGACGGGGCCCCGCACAAGCGGCGGAGCAUGCGGAUUAAUUCGAUGCAACGCGUAGAACCUUAACUGGGUUUGACAUGGAUCGGGAGUGCUCAGAGAUGGGUGUGCCUCUUUUGGGGUCGGUUCACAGGUGGUGCAUGGCUGUCGUCAGCUCGUGUCGUGAGAUGUUGGGUUAAGUCCCGCAACGAGCGCAACCCUUGUUCACUGUUGCCAGCACGUUAUGGUGGGGACUCAGUGGAGACCGCCGGGGUCAACUCGGAGGAAGGUGGGGAUGACGUCAAGUCAUCAUGCCCCUUAUGUCCAGGGCUUCACGCAUGCUACAAUGGCUGGUACAGAGAGUGGCGAGCCUGUGAGGGUGAGCGAAUCUCGGAAAGCCGGUCUCAGUUCGGAUUGGGGUCUGCAACUCGACCUCAUGAAGUCGGAGUCGCUAGUAAUCGCAGAUCAGCAACGCUGCGGUGAAUACGUUCCCGGGGCUUGUACACACCGCCCGUCAAGUCAUGAAAGUUGGUAACACCCGAAGCCGGUGGCCUAACCGUUGUGGGGGAGCCGUCGAAGGUGGGACUGGA
rnacentral:rRNA from 1 species